CAGCAGCCGCGGGAAUACGAAGGGGGCUAGCGUUGUUCGGAUUUACUGGGCGUAAAGGGCGCGUAGGCGGACUGAUAAGUCAGGGGUGAAAUCCCAAGGCUCAACCUUGGAACUGCCUUUGAUACUGUUUGUCUUGAGUUCGAGAGAGGUAAGUGGAACUGCGAGUGUAGAGGUGAAAUUCGUAGAUAUUCGCAAGAACACCAGUGGCGAAGGCGGCUUACUGGCUCGAAACUGACGCUGAGGCGCGAAAGCGUGGGGAGCAAACAGGAUUAGAUACCCGCGUAGUCCUGUCUCUUAUACA
rnacentral:rRNA from 1 species